GACGAACCGUGCGAACGUUGUUCGGAAUCACUGGGCUUAAAGGGCGCGUAGGCGGACUGCCGCGUCCGGGGUGAAAUCCUCCCGCUCAACGGGAGAACGGCCUCGGAUACGGGCGGCCUCGAGGGGGGUAGGGGCGUCUGGAACUGUGGGUGGAGCGGUGAAAUGCGUUGAUAUCCACAGGAACUCCGGUGGCGAAGGCGAGGCGCUGGACCCCAUCUGACGCUGAGGCGCGAAAGCCAGGGGAGCGAACGGG
rnacentral:rRNA from 1 species